rnacentral:rRNA from 1 species
UACGUAGGGUGCAAGCGUUGUCUGGAAUUAUUGGGCGUAAAGAGCUCGUAGGCGGUCUGUCGCGUCUGCUGUGAAAACUCGGGGCUUAACCCCGGGCCUGCAGUGGGUACGGGCAGACUAGAGUGCGGUAGGGGAGACUGGAAUUCCUGGUGUAGCGGUGAAAUGCGCAGAUAUCAGGAGGAACACCGGUGGCGAAGGCGGGUCUCUGGGCCGUAACUGACGCUGAGGAGCGAAAGCGUGGGGAGCGAACAGG